UUACGGCCACAUCGUAUUGAAACACCAGUUCACAUACGAUCAUCGAAGUUACGCAACAUUAAACCUGGUCAGUACCAAGAUGGGUGACCGCUUGGAAAUAUCAUGUGUG